rnacentral:rRNA from 1 species
UUCCUUGGGAAAUUUGGCUGCUUAACAGUCAAGCUUUCAGGGAAUACUGCCUGGCUUGGGACCGGGAGAGGUCAGAGGUACUCCAGGGGUAGCGGUGAAAUCCUUUAAUCCUUGGGGGACCACCAGUAGCGAAGGCGUCUGACCAGACCGGGUCCGACGGUGAGGGACGAAAGCUAGGGGCGCGAACCGGAUUAGAUACCCGGGUAGUCCUAGCAGUAAACGAUGUGGGCCAGGUGUUGCGCAUUACUGCGAGUGAUGCCGUGCCGAAGGGAAGCCGUUAAGCCCACCAUCUGGGGAGUACGGUCGCAAGGCUGAAACUUAAAGGAAUUGGCGGGGGAGCGCCACAACGGGUGGAGCUGCGGUUCAAUUGGAUUCAACGCCGGAAAACUCACCGGACGAGACAGCAAGAUGAAGGUCAGGCUGAAGACCUUACCAGAUUAGCUGAGAGGUGGCGCAUGGCCGUCGGCAGUUCGUGUCGUGAGACAUCCUGUUAAGUCAGGCAACGGGCGAGACCCGUGCUCACAGUUGCCAGCAUCUCCGCAAGGAGGUGGGCACUCUGCGAGACUGCCACCGCUAAGGUGGAGGAAGAAGCGGGCCACGGUAGGUCAGUACGCCCCGAAUCUUCCGGGCUGCACGCGUGCUACAAUGGGCAGUACAAUGGGUAUCAAACCCGAAAGGGGAAGGUAAUCCCCUAAAGCUGCCCUCAGUUGGGAUUGAGGUCUGCAACUCGCCCUCGUGAAACAGGAAUCCGUAGUAAUCGCCCUCAAAAUGCGGCGGUGAAUAUGUCCCUGGUCCUUGCACACACCGCCCGUCAAGCCAGCCGAGUGGGGUUUAGGUGGGGGCAUCCUUUUUGGGGUGUUCGAACCUAAGUCUCGCAAGGGGGGCUAAGUCGUAACAAGG